AUGAGGACAAAGAUGGCGGCGGCGCUGGUCCGGGCCUCCGGGGGGAUCGGACCUCCUACGCCUGCCCGAUCCUCCUACUUCUCCUCGCGCUGCUCCUCGCUGUCCCCGCUCGCGGCCAUCUCCAACGCCUCCUCCCACGCCUACGCCUUCGCGAGCCGUCAGCCGAUGCCCGCCCCGGAUCCCACCUUCUUCGAUGAUGUCGUCGACGCCAUCGUCGACAAGGCGCGCUCGUCAACGCCGUGUAGUGCUACGAGUUCCCCGCCCACGUGGGGCCCCGUGGUCGCGCUGGCGCGGGCCUCCGACGGGGUCGUCGACUGGAGCCUCCUCGACGCCCCCGUGGUGGAGGAGGUGGUUGGGCCCAACGGGGUCGACUUCGUGACCGGCGAUGGUGACCUGGCGUUCGGCUCCGGCAUUAGGGUCCGUGACAUGGUAGGGCCGUUCGAGCUGGUGGUCUGCGAUGGCGCUGGCAGGGGCCGUGCAGAGCUCCAGUUGCCGUCGUGUCUGCACCACCUGGCACACGCGCUGGUUGAUGAAGCCGCUGGGCCGGAAGGCCCUCUCAUUGCCAUGCUAAUGAGUAUCACGACGAACAUGGCCCCCACCUCAAUGCCUCCCUGUCGGCGUGUUUCUAAAGAAAGGGACAAGGAUCAGGGCUAUAAGAUUGUUGAAAGACUCAGAGACAUGUACCAUGAAUCGGUUUUCUCAUGUAACUUGAACUGCUGCUGGUUUAAAUUUCAGUUCCGUAAGCUGCGGCACACAUGGUCUGCCUCCGUGUCGUCCUACCUGCUUCAGGGCCCUCUACUUCUUCCCCCAAGAUUGCCAUUAUGA
rnacentral:rRNA from 1 species